GUGGGGAAUAUUGGACAAUGGGCGAAAGCCUGAUCCAGCCAUGCCGCGUGUGUGAAGAAGGUCUUCGGAUUGUAAAGCACUUUAAGUUGGGAGGAAGGGCAGUAAGUUAAUACCUUGCUGUUUUGACGUUACCGACUGAAUAAGCACCGGCUAACUUCGUGCCAGCAGCCGCGGUAAUACGAAGGGUGCAAGCGUUAAUCGGAAUUACUGGGCGUAAAGCGCGCGUAGGUGGUUUUGUAAGUUGGAGGUGAAAUCCCCGGGCUCAACCUGGGAACUGCCUCCAAAACUGCAUGAAUAGAGUACGGUAGAGGGUAGUGGAAUUUCCUGUGUAGCGGUGAAAUGCGUAGAUAUAGGAAGGAACACCAGUGGCGAAGGCGACUACCUGGACUGAUACUGACACUGAGGUGCGAAAGCGUGGGGAGCAAACAGGAUUAGAAACCCCUGUAGUCC
rnacentral:rRNA from 1 species